AUAUGAAAAGUCACAGUGUCCCAUGCCAAAGCAAACUGUCACCCCGAACCAUUGCCUGGCUUUACCCCGUGGGCUUCUGCACUGAAGCGGGUUGCACAGUA
rnacentral:snoRNA from 1 species